GUGCCAGCCGCCGCGGUAAUACGUAAGUGGCAAGCGUUAUCCGGAAUUACUGGGCAUAAAGAGUUUGUAGGCGGUUAAUCAAGCCAGCUAGUGAAAGCCAUCGGCCUAACCGAUGUAAGCUAAUGGAACUGGUUAACUUGAGUACAGGAGAGGAAAGUGGAAUUCCUAGUGUAGUAGUGAAAUGCGUAGAUAUUAGGAAGAACAUCAGUAGCGAAGGCGACUUUCUGGACUGUAACUGACGCUGUGGAACGAAAGCGUGGGGAGCGAACAGGAUUAGAUACCCCGGUAGUCC
rnacentral:rRNA from 1 species